rnacentral:lncRNA from 1 species
GGCACAACCACUUUGGUCUCCUACUUCGGGCAGCUGUGCAUGUACUAGGGGAAUGGAAUUUACUGGGGAAAUAAUGGUGAGUUACUAAAGUAAUUUAUUUAAUGAUUAGCCGGGUCAAUUGUCCCCUCUGCAGCCAGUUGACCAGGGCAUUCCAUGUGACUACAGUGCUUAAAAGGUGUGAAAGUGCUGGCUAGCUGGGCAGAUAAAACGCUUAGAAGAAGUCAGGCUUAAAUAUAGAGGACCAUCAAGCCUCUUUAAAAAAAAGAAAUCAAUAGGUCAUUUAAUCCAUACGGUAUCAUUGGAGAGGUGGAGAGAGAAAUCCCUCUGGAACAAUUAUAAAAUACUUUAUCAUACGUAAUGUUUACCAAAGGGAAUUUCACAUUUUCCCCUUACUGUUGUGAGUAACCCAGGAGAAAGUGAUCUGCUAAUCCUAAUAAUGACACAAGCUGUUUCACAGGUGCUCACUGCAAGACUCCAUCUCCUGUAGCUUCCUGCAGGUAUGAAAAACAGCACAGAGCAGAAGGUCCCUGCCAUUGCUCUUGUCUUCAUCUGAAAAAGAGAGAUUGUUCCUCGCUUAUGCUGCUUGUCAUCCUAGCGUCUGCGUGUACCUGUUGCUGUGCUGAUGAUGAAGUCCAUUUCCCGGUAACUGGACAGUGAAUGCUUCUGUUCACUUUGGUGUUGCUGACUACAUCUAAUUUGAAGAGACCUUGUAAGGCCAGCUAACAGAGAGAGAGACUGCCUGCAUGAAACACGGCCUCAAAUGAACACUGACAGCC